rnacentral:rRNA from 1 species
GAUGAACGCUGGCGGCGUGCUUAACACAUGCAAGUCGAACGAUAAAGCCCAGCUUGCUGGGUGGAUUAGUGGCGAACGGGUGAGUAACACGUGAGUAACCUGCCCUUGACUCUGGGAUAAGCCCGGGAAACUGGGUCUAAUACCGGAUAGGAGCGCCUGUCGCAUGACGGGUGUUGGAAAGAUUUUUCGGUCAUGGAUGGACUCGCGGCCUAUCAGCUUGUUGGUGAGGUAAUGGCUCACCAAGGCGACGACGGGUAGCCGGCCUGAGAGGGUGACCGGCCACACUGGGACUGAGACACGGCCCAGACUCCUACGGGAGGCAGCAGUGGGGAAUAUUGCACAAUGGGCGGAAGCCUGAUGCAGCGACGCCGCGUGAGGGAUGACGGCCUUCGGGUUGUAAACCUCUUUCAGUAGGGAAGAAGCGAAAGA